AUGGCCUGGACGCCUAUCUUCCUUAUGUUCCUCUCCUAUUGUACAGGCUCCCUGUCCCAGGCCGUGCUGACCCAGCCGCCCUCCCUCUUGGCAUCUCCGGGAACGACAGACAGACUCAUCUGCACCCUGAGCAGGGACAUCAGUGUUGGCGGCUCUAAUAUAUACUGGAUCCAGCAGCAGCCAUGGAGCCCUCCCCGGGAUCACCUGUACUACUCCUCAGACUCCGAUAAGCACCAGGGCUCCGGGGUCCCCAGCCGCUUCUCGGGCUCCAAAGACGCCUCGGCCAAUGCGGGGCUUCUGCGCAUCUCGGGGCUGCAGGCUGAGACCGAGGCGGACUAUCACUGGGCUGCAGCUCAGGGCGCUGGGAGCAGCCUCCUCGCUCACUGCACAGGGUCCUGGGCCCAGUCUGUGCUGACUCAGCCGUCCUCCGUUUCUCGGGCCCUGAGCCAGACGGUCACCAUCUCCUGCACUGGAAGCAGCUCCAACAUCGGGGGUGGUAAUUCGGUGAGCUGGAUCCAACAGCUCCCAGGAAAAGCCCCCAGAACCGUCAUCUAUGGGUCCUGGGCUCAGUCUGUGCUGACUCAGCCGCCCUCCGUGUCUGGGGCCCUGGGCCAGAGGGUCACCAUCUCCUGCACUGGAAGCAGCUCCAACCCCAGGGGUUAUGCUCUUUAG